AGCAGGAUGACUCAGGGAGCAGCAGCGAGGAAUCAGACAGUGAUGGGGAGGCACCGGCAGCUGUGACCUCUGCCCAGGACAGUAACUCCAAACCUGCCAGAAGCAAGACCCUGGCCCCAGCACCCCCAGAGAGGAACACGGAGGGGUCCUCGGAGAGCAGUGAGGAAGAGCUGCCACUGACCCAGGACCAGGAGUCUUCUUGAAUCCCAUGAGCUCUGCCCAGGACCCUCUCUCAAGCACCUGUGGCAUACCUUCAUGUGCUCCACUGCACCCAGAGCUUAAGCCACAGUCCUGCUCAGGCUACACCUCCAAGGGUGGGACCAGGCCCACCUUAUCUUCCUGUACUCCAGAGGCCCAAGUCAGCCAUGCUGGUGUGGUCCAAGCUUCUGUGUGAACCCUGGCCCUUCCAUCAGACAGCAUUACCCUUUGUCCUCCUCUAGCCCCAAGCUCCCAGAAGCUUCUGCCAGGCACCUCAGAGCACCAGCUCCCCUGUCCCAGGGCCUAACCACAGAUCCUGGAGUUCUGCAACCUCCAGACCAGAGCGGUCUCAUGAACCACCUCCCCUUGAAUAUCACAUACCACAUUGUUAUCAAUUCAUCAGUAAGGUCAGAUGCUGUUUGCACACCUCCAGCAAUAGGGUGCUCACUGCCUCUCACUUUCCAAUGGCACAGAUUACAAAAGUAAAGAACAACCACCACCAA
rnacentral:lncRNA from 10 species